rnacentral:rRNA from 1 species
UCGAGAAUCUUUCGCAAUGGGCGAAAGCCUGACGAAGCGACGCCGUGUGUGUGAUGAAGGCCCUCGGGUCGUAAAGCACUUUCGCCUGGGAACAAGAGAAAAGGACUAAUACUCCUUUAAUUUGAGGGUACCAGGUAAAGAAGCACCGGCUAACUCCGUGCCAGCAGCUGCGGUAAUACGGAGGGUGCAAGCAUUAAUCGGAAUUAUUGGGCGUAAAGGGCGCGUAGGCGGUAUGGUCAGUCAGGUGUGAAAUCCCGGAGCUUAACUCCGGAACAGCACUUGAAACUUCCAUUCUAGAGGAUAGACGGAGAAAACGGAAUUCCACAAGUAGCGGUGAAAUGCGUAGAUAUGUGGAGGAACACCUGUGGCGAAAGCGGUUUUCUAGUUUAUACCUGACGCUGAGGCGCGAAAGCAAGGGGAGCAAACAGGAUUAGAUACCCGUGUAGUCC